rnacentral:tmRNA from 1 species
GGUUGCGUGCCGAGCUUUUUCUGUGUGCUCGUAAAAUAAGCGGAAACAAGACAAACAACAACAAUGCAUACGCAUUGGCUGCUUAAGGAUUAAUUUCCUGCAGUCCGUUUUAGCUUACUCUCGUUUGUUGGGGUUUGCUAAGAUGUCAUUUUUGACAAACUAGCCGAAGUCCAAUGCUCGGAGGACUGAGGCGAAUAACUCUGCGAAAGCGGAGUAUCGAGCUCGCUGAUUUGUUUUUUGGUCGUUUUUUAUGGAUCAGUUAAAAUCAAAACAGGCCUACGCAUGUAGACGUCUUUAGUAGCUUAUUCUCGGACACGGGUUCAAUUCCCGUCGUCUCCACAA